AGGCAAGCCAGGUGACAGAGCUGUUGCAGGUGCUGAUUACUGUGAGCCAGAGCCAUAGUGUUGUUGUGCACUGAACAGAACGGAAUUGGCCAGGUGAACCUUGUUAGGGUAUGAAAGAGGAUGGCGAGCCAAUGAACGGCUAGGAGCA